CUCGUAUCGAUCCCCUCGAGGAGAAGCCGUCGCCCCCAUCUCCCGUUCCGCCGCCGCCGCCCCCCACCUUGCCCUAUCUCCCUCUCAGCCACCUCCGCCGCCCCCACGCUUCUCCUCACCACAACAGAUCCCUUCGCCGUCGCCCUCGCACUCGCACCAAGCCGCCGCCGAUCCCUGCGUCGAUCCUUCGCUGCCGCCGAUCUCGUCGCUACAUCGACGGCAACCAGGGGUCGUCCUCCGCCCAGCCGCAGUGGAGAUCAAGCAGGAGUCCUCCAAGGACGACUCCCGCGGGAUCAUCCUGAUCCUGUUCGAGAAGUUCGGCUUCUCCCACCGCGGGUCCGUCUCCAUCGCGCUCACCGGCGCCAGGGCUGCCUCCAAGCUCGCCAAGCCGGACUCUUCGCAGCUCGGCUUCUUCCUUUGGUGAUAUAGAAGAUGAAAUUAUUAUUUACAAAAGAAAUUGUUUGAGGUCAAGAGUUGAUGCCAAAUGUCCUGGAUCAGGACAACUCCUGGGAAACAAGGCGAACGUCACCAUACUUGACAAGGGUCCCUGAUUUUAUCACUUCCGUUGACGAGUCUUGUGUCAGCAUCUUGAUGCGAGGUACAACUUCUAGGUAGGUUCUGGAAGAUGUCAUGAAGAAUUUCUUUCAGAGAAUUUGCGUGAGGAGUGUCUAAAUGAUUUUUAUCUUCUGAACAUAUUCUUGUAUGACUAACUGAAUUCAUUUUUUCAAAACCGUGACUAGCUGAUCUGUAGCGGCGCGGAAGGUGAGCUUGGCUGCAGGUAGCAGCUCCUUUGGCUGAUCUGCGGCGAUGCAGAAGUUGGGUUGGAAAGAAGCACGACCGGCUGCUCUGAAGUGGGACGUAGGGAGAGCUUCGUAAGAGAUAGGGAGGGAGCUCUAUUGGCCCGUGCAUGACAUCCAACCCAAUGGCAUCAUGCCCUGGUAGGCAUGGUUGUGUGGCCACGGGGAAAAUGGAGCAAGUAGCAUGUGAGGAGUUUAACAAAUGGGGACAAGGGACAGUUUAGUUAAUUAAGGCUCUAUGUUAGUUUCAAGUUUUAUCCUUGUUGCGGUAAAAAAUUAUGGUUGGAUUAACCACCAUGUACAUCUUUAAUUACUUUUAAAUAAGAAAUAUAAUCAAAAUAUUCUUUUGAAUUGAUAAAA